GACGAACGCUGGCGGCGUGCUUAACACAUGCAAGUCGAACGGAAAGGCCCUGCUUUUGUGGGGUGCUCGAGUGGCGAACGGGUGAGUAACACGUGAGUAACCUGCCCUUGACUUUGGGAUAACUUCAGGAAACUGGGGCUAAUACCGGAUAGGAGCUCCUGCUGCAUGGUGGGGGUUGGAAAGUUUCGGCGGUUGGGGAUGGACUCGCGGCUUAUCAGCUUGUUGGUGGGGUAGUGGCUUACCAAGGCUUUGACGGGUAGCCGGCCUGUGAGGGUGACCGGCCACAUUGGGACUGAGAUACGGCGCAGACUCCUACGGGAGGCAGCAGUGGGGAAUAUUGCACAAUGGGCGGAAGCCUGAUGCAGCAACGCCGCGUGCGGGAUGACGGCCUUCGGGUUGUAAACCGCUUUCGCCUGUGACGAAGCGUGAGUGACGGUAAUGGGUAAAGAAGCACCGGCUAACUACGUG
rnacentral:rRNA from 1 species